rnacentral:pre_miRNA from 1 species
UCUUAUGGAUGAGCAAAAGAAAUGGUUCUUUAGAUGGAAUCUGCUCCUGGUGAAGAUGCUGUGAA